AACGGCGUGGGACUUCUCAGAAAAAUCCAACACCAGGUACUUGUCAACGGCUACCUCUGCCAUGCGACACCUUAAAAAUAAUUCAUGCUACGUUCUCGUCAACGGCUACCUCCGUCGUCGAUCGACGACCUCUCCUACAGGCUACACAUGCCUCCCCUUCUUCCACCUCCCUUUCCCUUCCUUCACUGACCAAUGGAACUCCCUCAUCUGCGGCCCCUCCCGCUUGACUUUCUCCAUCUCUACAAUACCAUGGCCUGGAUUUCUUCUGUUUAUAGACCGUGACUUCGCCUUCUUCUUCCUCCUCUAAUCCUGCAAAGGCCAAUUCUUGCCACGAGGCCGACAGGUCGAUCAUGCGGAGCAACUUCUCUUCAAGUGUCAUCAUCUUCACCAAUAUGGCCCGUUCGUCCGCAAUGGAUGGGUUCACGGAGGAGAUGAAGAAGGUGUUUGAUGAAAUGCGGACUUGGUCUCCUGAAAUUCGAUGGUCGGAGCCAGGCGUCGAUGCCAUCAACAUGGAAUCUAUGGAAGCAAAGGAGAAGGCUGCGGAACGAGCCAUCAUCCUCGAACUCGAGGAGGCAUAUGGCAUAGUCCUUGUCGGUGGUGGUGACGUGCUUGGCCUUGGACUAGGAUGAGGCCAUGAGGGAGAGAGGAAGGCAUUGCUCGCCAACUUACUGAGAUAUCAUCCACAAUUCCGCACCAUUUCAUGAAUAAGGGAGCAGGGUGUUGUUCAGAAGAUCAUGGAUUUGAAGUAAAAAGGAGAGAAAAGUUACAUGUCUUACUCUCCAACAUAUAUGAGAGUUUUAUUUUCAAAAUAACACCUUCCCUUCUUAUCCAUUGAAAGUGGUUUUGUUUUGGAACUUUGACAAUUUGGUUCCAUAAACAGGAGACGCUUCCUUUCCUCUUUUCUUUAUCUGUUAGGAAAAAGUGUGAAACUUUGACCGUUUCUUUUACGGCGCUCACUUAUUUUCAGUUCUAUAUAUACGAUGAUUUGAAUAACUUUUCCG
rnacentral:lncRNA from 1 species